rnacentral:rRNA from 1 species
UAGCCAAGUCCGGAAGGGAUAAACGCUGAAGGCAUCUAAGCGUGAAGCCCCCCUCAAGAUGAGAUAUCCCAUUCUUAUGAAGUAAACCCCCUUGAAGACGACGAGGUAGAUAGGGCAGAGGUGGAAGUGUGGUAACACAUGGAGCUGACUGUUACUAAUCGGGUGAGGGCUUGACCAA